CCCAGACAGCCAGGAUGUUGGCUUAGAAGCAGCCAUCAUUUAAAGAAAGCGUAAUAGCUCACUGGUCGAGUCGGCCUGCGCGGAAGAUGUAACGGGGCUAAACCAUGCACCGAAGCUGCGGCAGCGACACUCAGGUGUUGUUGGGUAGGGGAGCGUUCUGUAAGCCUGCGAAGGUGGCCUGUGAGGGUUGCUGGAGGUAUCAGAAGUGCGAAUGCUGACAUAAGUAACGAUAAAGCGGGUGAAAAGCCCGCUCGCCGGAAGACCAA
rnacentral:rRNA from 5 species